rnacentral:lncRNA from 1 species
AUCAAUAAAAUGAAAUAUUGAAUCUGCUUCUUCCCCAAACUCUCUUCUUCUCUAAACUCUCUUUUCCCAACUCUUAUCUUUUCUCUACCUCUCAUCCACACCAUGUCUAAACUCUAAACACAAUGAAUAAUUCGCCGUGUUUAAAAAAAUACAAUUAUAUGUAUUACGAAAAAAAUAUAAGUAUUAAAAAAAGGGAAUACAAAAAAUAUAAGCACGGAACAUGGUGAAUGGACCAUUCACCGUAAUUGAACACGAUGAAUGAUUUACCGUGUCUAAGAAAAAUAUAUCAUUUACCGUGUUUGAAUGCGGUGAAUGAUUCACGGUGUUCAACUUAUCACCCCUCCAGCUUUUACAAAAAUAAUUUAUAAAAUUUAAAUUUUAUAAAAAUAUAUUUGUUUGUUAUAAUCGGAACGACGAAAAGUAGAUCCAGAAAAUAAUUUAAUGCAGGAAAAGAAAAGAUAAGGAAAGAGUACACCGAUAUUUACGUGGUUCGGCCAACAGCCUACGUCCACGGGCGAAGACGGAGCAAAUACUUUGUUAAUGUCGAAAAGGCGGAAUACAAAGAAGAUUUCUCGAAAAAUAACCAAAGCUUAAUU